rnacentral:rRNA from 1 species
GGAUAGCCAUUGGAAACGAUGAUUAAUACUAGAUACUCCUUUUUAUCAAAUGAUAAAUCGGGAAAGUUUUUUCGCUAAGAGAUCGGUCUAUAUCGCAUCAGUUAGUUGGUGGGGUAAGAGCCUACCAAGACAAUGACGCGUAGCGGGUUUGAGAGGAUGAUCCGCCACACUGGUACUGAGACACGGACCAGACUCCUACGGGAGGCAGCAGUGAGGAAUAUUGCACAAUGGGGGAAACCCUGAUGCAGCAACGCCGCGUGGAGGAUGACGCAUUUCGGUGUGUAAACUCCUUUUAUAUGUCAAGAAAAUGACGGUAGCAUAUGAAUAAGCACCGGCUAACUCCGUGCCAGCAGCCGCGGUAAUACGGAGGGUGCAAGCGUUAUUCGGAAUCACUGGGCGUAAAGGACGCGUAGGCGGGUUUGUAAGUCAGGUGUGAAAUCCUAUGGCUCAACCAUAGAACUGCACUUGAAACUACUAACCUAGAGUAUGGGAGGGGGAGAGGAAUUAGUGGGGGGUGAAGGGGAAAAAC